GAUGAACGCUGGCGGCGUGCCUAAUACAUGCAAGUCGAGCGAACAGACGAGGAGCUUGCUCCUCUGACGUUAGCGGCGGACGGGUGAGUAACACGUGGAUAACCUACCUAUAAGACUGGGAUAACUUCGGGAAACCGGAGCUAAUACCGGAUAAUAUAUUGAACCGCAUGGUUCAAUAGUGAAAGAAGGUUUUGCUGUCACUUAUAGAUGGAUCCGCGCCGCAUUAGCUAGUUGGUAAGGUAACGGCUUACCAAGGCAACGAUGCGUAGCCGACCUGAGAGGGUGAUCGGCCACACUGGAACUGAGACACGGUCCAGACUCCUACGGGAGGCAGCAGUAGGGAAUCUUCCGCAAUGGGCGAAAGCCUGACGGAGCAACGCCGCGUGAGUGAUGAAGGUCUUCGGAUCGUAAAACUCUGUUAUUAGGGAAGAACAAAUGUGUAAGUAACUAUGCACGUCUUGACGGUACCUAAUCGGAAAGCCACGGCUAACUACGUG
rnacentral:rRNA from 1 species